rnacentral:rRNA from 1 species
GACGAACGCUGGCGGCGUGCCUAAUACAUGCAAGUAGAACGCUGAAGAGAGGAGCUUGCUCUUCUUGGAUGAGUUGCGAACGGGUGAGUAACGCGUAGGUAACCUGCCUUGUAGCGGGGGAUAACUAUUGGAAACGAUAGCUAAUACCGCAUAACAAUGGAUGACACAUGUCAUUUAUUUGAAAGGGGCAAUUGCUCCACUACAAGAUGGACCUGCGUUGUAUUAGCUAGUAGGUGAGGUAAUGGCUCACCUAGGCGACGAUACAUAGCCGACCUGAGAGGGUGAUCGGCCACACUGGGACUGAGACACGGCCCAGACUCCUACGGGAGGCAGCAGUAGGGAAUCUUCGGCAAUGGGGGCAACCCUGACCGAGCAACGCCGCGUGAGUGAAGAAGGUUUUCGGAUCGUAAAGCUCUGUUGUAAGUCAAGAGCGGGUGUGAGAGUGGAAAGUUCACACUGUGACGGUAGCUUACCAGAAAGGGACGGCUAACUACGUG